rnacentral:misc_RNA from 1 species
AAGUCGUAACAAGGUAACCGUAGGUGAACCUGCGGUUGGAUCAUUAAAAAUCCAAAGAGUCUUGGGUCAUUCGAUGCCUUGACUCUAACUGGCCUUCGGGCCUCAACCCCUUGUGAACUGUUAUUGAACUUGGCUAGAUUAUUGCCUAGCAGUGCUAGCCGUUUAGUUUUAACUUUGUUUUAUUUGUCUGAUACCUAAAGAUUCAAUCUUAACAACUUUUGGCAAUGGAUCUCUAGGCUCUC